GGUGCACAUGAUGGUAACAGCGAUCAAAGUAUGAGAAAGCAUGAUUCCAACUUUUUAAAUUACUGAUGCACC
ensembl:snoRNA SNORD4B small nucleolar RNA, C/D box 4B